GUCUUUGAACCCUUGUGCAGCGUGGGAUGCAGCAUGCACCAGACAUAAGCAUACAGGAUUUCUGGGAGAAGAAACCCAACCUAAUAAAUGAACUACUAUUUCAGAAUGAGUAAUGAGGCAAAAAUUAACCAGAAAACAUACAUACACCCAGGGAAAAGUUGCAGAGAAGUGCAAAUUACCAGGCUUAAGAUAAAUUAAGAAGCACUGGCACCUUCACUGAUCUUCAUACCAAGAGCUGCCCAUAAAGUGGUGCUGCCGAGAUUGGAUUGCUCCUGCAUGCUCCCUCAGUGAUUUUUAUAUUUUAAUAAGACCGUUCAUUAUAGUUAGCUCCGUGUGUUGGAGCCAUUAGAUAUUUAUGGGAAAUAGCAUAUCAUUAUCUCAGUUGCAUUCUGAGCCAUUUGGGAUGCUUUUAAGUUAGGGUGAUUUUUUUCCUGUCUCAAUUUUACACACACUAGUGCCUAUGUGCCUGUUGAGCUUAUUUCUGUCUUUAGGUUCUUUGAUCCUAUUUUUCAACUUUAUUGUGUUAAAGUGGCAGAUGAACAGUGUCACUGACUGCUAGACAGGAGUAGCCUCAAAUUCAGUUAAUUCAAAAAUUUACUCUCUUAAGAGAGGGGCUGACGUUCUAAGUCCUUUAUUUAUUCUCACUCAUCUAAAAUUCCAUCAGGGAACAUUCAUACACAUCCCCUUAUCUCUUCAGAUUUACCAUUAGUGAUCUAAGAAUGGAAACGAUGAUUUUGACAUUACAUGACCAUAAGAAGGAAGGAUGUUAAUAGGAAUUCUUAGAGCUUAUAAAGGCAAAAAGCAAACACAACACACACUUGAAAAUUAUUAGUGAGCAAUGAAACUAAAGGUAGCUCUAGUACAACUGAGUAAUUUUCCGUGUUGACAUGUGAACCUAUUGAAGGUUCUAAGUUAUAUUUGUGAUUUUAAUGUAAUAAAGUACAUAUUAAGUUUAGAUUGGGAUUUAGCAAAUCUGUAUUGUUAUUCUUGUAACUGUAUUUUUCCAGUUUGGGUUGGGGGUGGCUAAAGAUUAUACAGCAAAAUCCUUUUCUCUCUUAUUCGUUAUUUGUUUAUAUUAAAGAUCUAUUAUCUGAAUUGUUUUAAAAUUUUUAUUUGCUAUCCUGCCUGGUGUGGCUAGCUUCUGCAUCAAAUCCAGAAGUUUUCAAACUCAUACAUAUUAUUUUAUUUCAUAUUCAUUAUGUUUAUUGUGGUAGUAGCCUAGAAUUGUUUAUUUAGUAAAGAUUUGUUG
rnacentral:lncRNA from 1 species